rnacentral:rRNA from 1 species
CGCCUCCUGCAAUGUACAGUAUAGGAGGUCCAGCCUGCCCAGUGACUACGGGUUCAACGGCCGCGGUAUAUUGACCGUGCAAAGGUAGCGCAAUCACUUGUCUUUUAAAUAGAGACCUGUAUGAAUGGCUAGACGAGGGCUUAGCUGUCUCCUCCUUCCAGUCAGUGAAAUUGAUCUAUCCGUGCAGAAGCGGGUAUAUAACUACAAGACGAGAAGACCCUUUGGAGCUUAAGGUACAAAAUUCAGCCAUGUUAAGCAACUCCGCAAAAAGCAAGAACUUAAUGGCCAUGAAGUUUUACCUUCGGUUGGGGCGACCGCGGAGGAGAACCAAGCCUCCGAGUGGACUGGGCCAAAGUCCCUAAAGCUAAAAGAGACAUCUUUAAGCCGCAGAACAUCUGACCAACAAUGAUCCGGCUAGAAGGCCGAUCAGCGGACCAAGUUACCCUAGGGAUAACAGCGCAAUCCUCUCCCAGAGCCCAUAUCGACGAGGGGGUUUACGACCUCGAUGUUGGAUCAGGACAUCCUGGUGGUGCAGCCGCUAUUAAGGGUUCGUUUGUUCAACGAUUAAAGUCCU